GUGCUAAGCCUCUGGGUAAAUAGAUAAACCCAAGAGGAAGAAAUAAGCACAAAGGCAAGCAAGUCGGGAUGGAGCGGGAAGUGGGCUGGAGGUGGGUGGGUACGGAGGAGGGGCAGCUCCAAAGGCAGGUCAGCCCUGGGUCGCCGUAGCUGAGUUAGGCCGUCUGGGAGGUCAGAGGCUGCUGGCUGACCUGCCAGGCCAGGACAAACAGAGGACGUUCAAUUCCUCCCUCUGUAUUCCAGGAGGAGUCUGUUGACCACGAUAACAGCCCUGUUAUCUCGGCCAGGAAAAAGGCGUUGUGGUUGCGGACCAGCGGCUGGAAGCCAGACACGCCGGGUGCUGCCUCUUGCUACCCUCUCGGUCCGCAUCACCUCCACCCGACAGAACAGGAUGCAGAGGCUCAGAAGCUGCGACAUCCAGUCACCCAGCACGGCAGUGACGCCGCGUGCCAGCAAACCCCGGCCCUCCCUGCCUCCCAGCCUUGGUGCCUUUCUCGGCACAAGGCUGUAAAGUGAUGACAUGAAGGUGGACUAUGUCCCGGGAGCGGGUCUGUGCGAUCCCGUCCCCACACCACACCUCCGCCCCCUCCUCUACCUGGCUGACUCCUCGCCGUCCUUGGACACCCAGCUUGAGGGCCCUCGCCUGCAGGCAGUCUGCCUGAUCUCCAGCCUGUUUCAGAACCCCCGGGGGCCUGUGCUUGGGCAACCAGGGUUCUUACGCUUCAGGUUGUAGCAGAUCCUUGUCAGUCUCCUCCUGCACUAGGGCGCCCAGGGGCCAAGAACUGAUGGCCACCCCGCCCCAGAAAAAAUAAAUAGAUUUAAUAAAUUGCAAGAUCAUCUGUAACUGCUCCCAAAACAGUGGCAUCCUGCAGGCAAGAGCCCACUAAAAAAGUCUUCUAGCAGGCGCCUCUGCUUCACCCACUCCCCACAGCCCCAUGACCCCUUGACCUUCAUCUGUCACCUCGUGACUCAGUGUGGUCCCUGGAUCAGCAGCGUCAGUACCAAGGGCUUGUUGGAAAGGCAGAAGCUCAGACAACCCAGACCCCCGGCACAAAGCAGGGCUUCAUUAACAUCAGCUCUUGUUAUAGGAUUGGAACCUUGCUCUAAAGCCUACUAUGUAGCACCCAUCAUGCCCAUUCCUAGUUGGGGAGCUGGGCUUCAUGGAGGGGAAAUGACUUUCUCCAGGUUUAACAGCCAGGACAUGAUAGACGCGGGUUUCAAACCUAGGGUUCGUGGCUCUCUCAAGCUGAUGGAAGUUAGUGCUGAUAUUCCACAUGGUGGAAAGAGAUAGGAAAUCUCCGUCUAUCAAGCAUGCACUCCUUGCAAAGCCCUUUGCCUGGCUCAUCUCUUGUGAUCUUCCCGACCCCUUUAUGAAGUAGGGGGGUAGGCAGUCUCAUUUUACAGACAAGAAUACAAGACUCAGGCGGGCAGGGGGGAACUUGCUUGAGGACCACAGCCAGGAAAGGGCAGUACACGGGUGGAACCCAGUUCUGUUUACCUGAAGCCAGCACGCAGCCUGUUCCUGACCCAGAGGAGCGGAGCCGCAGACAGGGCUGUGGAGAGGGGGCGCUGCUGGUUCCCUGCUCCAGCUCCUUCCCGUCCUCUUCCACUGUGGAGAGCCUGUGGCCUUGGGUCAAAAUUCACACUUCCUUCCCCUUUCUGACUCUCUGCCUUCAGCUAAAUUGUUAACCACUUCCAACAGAGCGAAAACACCUGCCUAUCGGGGCAAUUGGUCAGUCCCGGUGUAUGACGUCACCACCAGCCAUUUCCAUCAGCUGCCGGCAGUGCCGGGAAUCCCUGGGAUCGCCCUCGUGCGUGCCUGGGGCUCACCUUGCAGGCCCUUCUGUGUGCUCCUGGAUGUGCGUCUCCGCAGCAGACAGCUCACAGGGGGAUGAACACAGGGGUGCGACCUGAGACACCCCUUCCCGCGGCAGCCCCGUCCCUCUCACUGCUGAGAUUUGGGCAGAUUUCUCAGCUUCAGCUUCUCCAUCACUAAAAUGAGCAGGUGAUCUCCCAAAUAUACAAACAGUUCAUGCAGCUCAUUAUCCAACAAACAGCCCAAUCAAAAGAAUGGACCCAAGACCUAAAUAGACAUUUCCCCAAAGAAGACAGACAGAUGCCCAAGGGGCACAUGAAAAG
ensembl:lncRNA